rnacentral:lncRNA from 10 species
GUCAGGAAAAUUGUGGCUUUUAUCAAGCAGACACUGUGGCUCUCUUUGAGGAUGGCCAAAGACUCACUCAUUGCUAGUAACUGCAACACGUGGUCUUUUAAAGAGAGGACAUGAAUAUUUUCAUUAACUGGGAAAGAAGGUGCCCACAUGAGACUUCAUUUAUUUGGGAGACUUAGGGCAAGGCUGAAAGGGGCAGAUGUUUAUAAAGAAAUUAAGAGUGAGGGCUCUGGAGACAGACUGCCUGGGUUUUAAUCCUGGCCCUUUAAGUUACUAUUCUGUACAAGUUACCAUUCUGUACAACGUAAGCAAAUUCUAACCUCUCUGCCUAAGCUCCCUAUCAGUAAAAUGAAAGUAAUGGUAAUACCUACGUCACAGGCUGUCCUGGAAAUAACAUGUGAGAAGUACUUAGAAUACUGCUUGGCACAUGUGCACCAAGUCCCCUCCAAGGAGAGACCCUGGGUAAUGAUGAUCUUUGGUGUCAACUAAGAUUCUUAAGAACUGGAUCCUCGUGAUUCCUAUGUGACCUGAAGAUGUGGCCAGUCCACCACCAAAGCAAGGAAGGAGAUAUGAGAAGGAAGUUUCGUCUCCUACCCAGUGCAUCAUUACUGGCAACAGUGAGAAGCAGAGCUGGGAAUUUGAGAAGCAAACCAAUGCCUUCUGCUUCUCAUCAUUAUUCCUGACAACAGACAGAAAAGAGGCAAACCUUCACCUUCUGUGGUCGCUUCUGAUACUCAGCCGGGAACCUCAUUCUCAGUAGCUACAGAUUUCCCUAAUCACUCAUCUUAACUUGACACUGCGUUCUAGUGCCUUUCGUGAGAAGGGUCUUGGGAGGCCAUAAACCUAUGUUGCUGGGAAAAGAAUGUACUGCAAUAAAGAGAGCAGGAGAGGAGCUGCAGAUUUCCAGCUCUCACAGCUUGUUCACUUGUGGAGACUAGGCUGCAAUGUGCUCUUGAAAUCAUUGGGGUGGGCCUUGUUUCUGAGGAAAUAAAGAGGCCCCAGAACCUCCCAAGUGAGCGAAAAAAUGAUUUCCAGAUACUCAAAUGGAGUGGCCUUCUGGCUACAUGAGCUGGAUGUGCUUGGCAGUCUUUCCAUCUGGCUGGCCAGUAUCCUGAGGUUAGCAAAGCAGAAGGCAAAUCUUUGGGGAGCUAAAAGACAUGUGCACGUGCCAGUAUUUUUGACAAAUGCUCAGUUAAUUGUUUUCUAUGAUUCUUCUCCCGAGACACAAACUGUGUGCACCAGGCACCAAGAACUAUCCCCAUCCCACCACCCCAGAUCCCAAGGGAAACUUCAUAAUUACACACGUUUGGGCCAAACAUCUACCCCACAGGAAAUGGACACAUCAGCCCCUAGGGAUGAAAGAAUGAUGCAGGGCAUGGGAAAGCAGAGAAAUCUCCUGAGUGAGAAAGAAGACAAAUUCACAGAAGCCUGAGAGCCUAUAUACCAGUAGGAGAAACUCAGAAUUUCUUUUCAGGAUACUAAGGAAAUGGUGGUCAGAAGAGGCCCGGGACGGAUGAAAUUCACCAAAGUCUCUACCACAGACAUUCUCAGAUGGUCCUAAUAAAAAGAAGAAACCCAAACCAGAACUGGUGGUCCACAUUGUGAGAGUUGCUGAAUAUCAUCACAAAGCAAUAAUUAUCCAACAGCAUGCUUGGUGGCUCAACAUUCUGAAAGGCAAAUGUCAAGGGCACAUAGUCUCAACCAUGUUGCUGAUGGGAGCUCAUGUUUUUUGUGUUGGGUGGUCUUGUGUUCUGCCUGGUGGUCUUUCUUCUGCCUGCUAUGACAGCACUAAUGAUUUCAUGUACACAGUAUUCACUUGUCUCCCUUUAGUAGUGCAUGACAAGUCAUAAAAGACAGACUGCCCAGAAAUGACACUGCAGUAUUCCAGACAUUUUCUCUCUUGGUGGUGACAGUUCCAAAUCAAGCUGGCUCAGUGCUUUUAAGUCAAAGCAUUUGUCGAAGUGGCAGUUUGAAACACAGCCUUAGAUCUGGAGAAUCAAACUAGGCUCUUCUCACCUCUCCCAUCAUUGCUGGUAAUAAAUAUUCAACUGCUGGACCACAGCUAGCAGAUUAUGAUAGAUGACACAGAAUAGAAUCCAACUCUUUCUUUCUUAUCUGUGAAGAACUCCUCUUUUGGUUAGAGAGAUUUCACUACCUUUUAAUAAGCAUAAGUAGGUCAUUUUACAGAAUUUCUUCUGCACUCAUUCAGGAUUUCUUUCCCAAAUUCCCACAAAGAGUAGCAAGGGAAGCUUCAUAGCUGCAUAGAAUAUUAAUAUAAUUUCUGUUCAGAGGAUCAACGUAUCACAUACUCAAAAAUCAAUCCAGGCAAUUAUCAAGGUUUUAACUCUAAAGAAUGUAUUAGAACAUUCUUCAUCAGAAGUUGACCUAUAAUUCUGUAUAGGGCAAUCAGACCAAGAAUUUACUCUCAAUAGACUUGGGGCCAUCAUUUAGAUUAGGUUUGGGGAAUUCAGUGCUACUCCCCACAAACCACCCAUCCCAAAUGAUCUUCCUGCAAAGUCCUACACUCACUGCCUCUACUAUUCACUGGCCAUUUUAUUACUUUUGGCCUUUUAUUGUGGUUAAAUUUUCAUAAUCAUUCUUUUGUUAAACGAACAUAAAUUGGGUCUCUGUUAAACCUUUUUAAGACCUAGAAAAAGCUUCUAAACAGGAGUGAUACUUGAGCUGGCCAUUCUAAGUGCUUCUAUCACAUCCUUAAGAAAUAUUUGAUGCAGAACCUGCCAUGCUAUAUUGUAAUCAUUUUGCUUCAUUGACUGUUUCUCCUCCUUUAUUAUAGGUUCCUUGAAAGCAGAUACCAGACAUAUUUAUCUUCCCAUACCAGUGUCUAAACACUGUGCCUGGUUCAUAGCACAGGGUCAAUACAUGUUUUAACGAGUAGAUUAAACUUGGCCCAUUGGAGGGGAGAGAGUGAUUACAAGGACAAAUAAGAUUUAGUUUUAUCCCUUAAGGUCUUUCUAAGUUAGCACAUGGCUAGGUACAGAGUAGAUGCUCAGUAAGUGCUGGUUGGUUAGUCAAUUCUCAGUUAUUUUUCUUCAGAUGGAAAGACAAGACUACCAAAAUGAAUAUAUACCAGCAAAGCCAGUUACUGUUUUAUUUUGAAAUAUCAACACCUUUCCUUGCUUCACUCAGGACCCCAAGUACUAAUGAACAAGAAAGAAACAAAGCAUAGGGGUUGUUUAUCAUACCAAACACAAUAUCUGAAGCCAAAACUGAGACACAUAGUCUUGCACCAGUAGAGGAUUUUUUUUUUUUUC